rnacentral:lncRNA from 1 species
AAGGAUAGGCCUCCGCCUUCGUACGGCGCCGUUUACGUCCCUCCUCACCACCGUCCCCGCUCCGUCGUCACCGCCACGCCUUAUUGCUCCUCAAUCAGCCCCGAUGCCUCUCCUCUUUCUCACCUUCAAACCAAAAAACAACAACUGAAUAGUAAGACCAAAAGCAAAAAUAACAAUAAUUAUGGGAGUAAUCAUAAGGACGACAACAAGUAUAACAAUUGUGGCAGUAAUGAUAAUAGUAAAAAAAAUUUGCAACACAAUUCAGCGUACAGCGAUGUUCUAUCGGAGGAGGGCUCUGAUCGUGAGCCGGAGUCGAUGUUGCAACCGGUGAGUGUCAGUGACUGAGAUUGAGUUGAUUGAAAUUUUACCGAGUUCUAGGAAAAUUUAUGAAGUGGUGCUAGUUUUGUAAAAAGAAAUUCCCGUUUGUGUCAGGUUGAUUAAGUUUAACUAGCUUUUAAUUUCUCUCUCUGUUUGGAGUAGUUUGUUUUAUUUUCAAAGCAAGACGUUGCUCUUGAAACCAAAAAUGC